rnacentral:rRNA from 1 species
UACAGAGGGGGCAAGCGUUGUUCGGAAUUACUGGGCGUAAAGGGCGCGUAGGCGGCCUGUUAAGUCGAACGUGAAAUCCCUCGGCUUAACCGGGGAACUGCGUCUGAUACUGGAUGGCUAGAGGUUGGGAGAGGGAUGCGGAAUUCCAGGUGUAGCGGUGAAAUGCGUAGAUAUCUGGAGGAACACCGGUGGCGAAGGCGGCAUCCUGGACCAAUUCUGACGCUGAGGAGCGAAAGCCAGGGGAGCAAACGGG